AGCGAACGCUGGCGGCAGGCUUAACACAUGCAAGUCGAGCGGGCGUAGCAAUACGUCAGCGGCAGACGGGUGAGUAACGCGUGGGAACGUACCUUUUGGUUCGGAACAACACAGGGAAACUUGUGCUAAUACCGGAUAAGCCCUUACGGGGAAAGAUUUAUCGCCGAAAGAUCGGCCCGCGUCUGAUUAGCUAGUUGGUGUGGUAACGGCGCACCAAGGCGACGAUCAGUAGCNGGUCUGAGAGGAUGAUCAGCCACAUUGGGACUGAGACACGGCCCAAACUCCUACGGGAGGCAGCAGUGGGGAAUAUUGGACAAUGGGCGCAAGCCUGAUCCAGCCAUGCCGCGUGAGUGAUGAAGGCCCUAGGGUUGUAAAGCUCUUUUGUGCGGGAAGAUAAUGACGGUACCGCAAGAAUAAGCCCCGGCUAACUUCGUGCCAGCCGCCGCAGUAAU
rnacentral:rRNA from 1 species